rnacentral:rRNA from 1 species
UACGUAGGGGGCGAGCGUUGUCCGGAUUCAUUGGGCGUAAAGAGCUCGUAGGCGGCUUGGCAAGUCGGGUGUGAAAACUCCAGGCUCAACCUGGAGACGCCACCCGAUACUGCCAUGGCUUGAGUCCGGUAGGGGACCACGGAAUUCCUGGUGUAGCGGUGAAAUGCGCAGAUAUCAGGAGGAACACCGAUGGCGAAGGCAGUGGGCUGGGCCGGCACUGACGCUGAGGAGCGAAAGCGUGGGGAGCGAACAGG